rnacentral:tRNA from 1 species
GCCCUUGUAGUUCAAUUGGAUAGAACGCAUCCCUCCUAAGGAUGAGAUUGUAGGUUCAAAUCCUAUCAAGGGCG